AUGGCGGACAAUACGGAGAAGACGCACAACUGGACAAUUGAAGAAACAAGGGCCCUCAUCGAGUGGCGGGCGGCAAAUGAAGCUCGGUUCACUGGCCUCCGCAACUCCUCUGCUACGGGAUGGGAGGACUUCAUUUCCACUUCUGGCCUGGAUAUUUCCACCAAACAGGCCAUGAAGAAGUGGAACAAUCUGAAGCUCAAGUACAAAUCGCUUAGGGACCCACCGACAGGCAGAGGGGUAGAGGCUGGUACAGCUACUGCCGCCACCUGGCAGUGGUAUGGUGCCAUGGAUGCUGCACUCCAGGGACAUCACUCCAUCUGUCCGCCCCUGGUUGUUGCAUCCAACAUGACUGCCACUACAGGUGGGGUAGUAAGCACACCGGCUUCUACCUCUUCUGCUGAGGAGGCCGGGGGAAGCAGCAGCAGAAAGAGACCCAGGGACAGUCUGCUGGAGCUUUUGAGGGAGUGGCGAGAGAGGCAGAGAGGGAGAGGGCGGCAGCAGUCUGGGCUGAACGGUACCUGA
rnacentral:lncRNA from 1 species